rnacentral:misc_RNA from 1 species
AACGCAAAUUGCGCCCGAGGCUUCGGCCAAAGGCAUGCCUGCCUCAGCGUCGGCUUCACCCCUCCCCUCCCUUUGUCUCUUUUGACGAAAGGCGAGGGGGACCUGGCUGUCUCGGCCCUCACCGGCCGGGUCCGCCGAAGCACAGAGGCUCGAGCGGGACCCCGCUUACAAGGGCAACAGGCUGGUAGGCGACCUCCCCGGUCGCAUGCCGCUGGUGCCUGGGGCGCCCGCUGGCCGAGCCCGCAGGAAGUGGCUGCCAGCCACGCCUUCACCCAUUCGACCUGAGUUCAGGCAAGAGCACCCGCUGAACUUAA